AGGCGCAACAUGUUCCAUUGUA
rnacentral:siRNA from 1 species